rnacentral:misc_RNA from 1 species
AUUCGCUUAGAGUGCCAAGAAAUUCUCCAUGCACAGCUCUGUUUUAACAUCUUGAUUCAAAUACAUCAUUAGUUCCACUUGAAACUUCAUUUAAACUUGAAUCUGAAUUAUUAUUCGUAGUGUAACUAUUUGAGCACAAACUUAAUUUGUCUACUGAAACAGAGGCGUUCACUAUUUCAGAUGGAAAAUUAAGUAGUGCCUUAGCACCUCGCAUUCUAAAAGCCGCUCUAUCAUAAGCUAACGCAGCUUCUUCAGCAGUUUCGAACGUACCUAGCCAUACUCUCGCACCAUGUCUAGCCGAAUCGCGAAUUUCCGCAGCGUAUUUCCCCCACGGACGACGUCGUACUCCUCUGUAUUUCUUGCCUAUGCACUGUAAUGGACGAAGAAUAUUAUUUCUAGGGAGUAAUUGAUUUCGUUGGGGUAAAUAAGGAAUAUUUAGAGCAUUAGCUUCAUUAAGAACUUCAUAUAAUACCAUCUCUUGUGAGUCAUUCUCAUUAAGAGGUAAAUCACUUUGAGGAGUUGGAACCAUAGCUUUUAUUAGAGGGGAUUUUGGUUAAUUUGUUGGGGGAAA